rnacentral:rRNA from 1 species
UAGGGAAUCUUCGGCAAUGGACGAAAGUCUGACCGAGCAACGCCGCGUGAGUGAAGAAGGUUUUCGGAUCGUAAAACUCUGUUGUUAGAGAAGAACAAGGACGUUAGUAACUGAACGUCCCCUGACGGUAUCUAACCAGAAAGCCACGGCUAACUACGUGCCAGCAGCCGCGGUAAUACGUAGGUGGCAAGCGUUGUCCGGAUUUAUUGGGCGUAAAGCGAGCGCAGGCGGUUUCUUAAGUCUGAUGUGAAAGCCCCCGGCUCAACCGGGGAGGGUCAUUGGAAACUGGGAGACUUGAGUGCAGAAGAGGAAAGUGGAAUUCCAUGUGUGGCGGUGAAAUGCGUAGAUAUAUGGAGGAACACCAGUGAGGAAGGCGGCUCUCUGGACUGUAACUGACGCUGAGGCUCGAAAGCGUGGGGAGCAAACAGG